rnacentral:rRNA from 1 species
UACAGAGGGGGCUAGCGUUGUUCGGAAUUACUGGGCGUAAAGGGCGCGUAGGCGGCCCGCUAAGUCGAACGUGAAAUCCCCGGGCUCAACCCAGGAACUGCGUCCGAUACUGGUUGGCUUGAAUCCGGGAGAGGGAUGUGGAAUUCCAGGUGUAGCGGUGAAAUGCGUAGAUAUCAGGGGAACACCGAUGGCGAAGGCAGCACUCUGGGCCGGUACUGACGCUGAGGAGCGAAAGCGUGGGGAGCAAACAGG